AGGGAAUAUUGGACAAUGGGGGCAACCCUGAUCCAGCAAUACCGCGUGAGUGAAGAAGGCCUUCGGGUUGUAAAGCUCUUUUACCGGGGAAGAUAAUGACGGUACCCGGGGAAUAAGCUCCGGCUAACUUCGUGCCAGCAGCCGCGGUAAUACGAAGGGAGCUAGCGUUGUUCGGAAUUACUGGGCGUAAAGGGCGCGUAGGCGGUUUUGUAAGUCAGAUGUGAAAGCCCCGGGCUUAACCUGGGAACUGCAUUUGACACUGCAAGACUAGAGAUCGAGAGAGGAAAGUGGAAUUACGAGUGUAGAAGUGAAAUUCGUAGAUAUUCGUAGGAACACCGGUGGCGAAGGCGACUUUCUGGCUCGACCCUGACGCUAAAGCGCGAAAGCGUGGGGAGCAAAC
rnacentral:rRNA from 1 species